UGCUGGCUUUCCAACAGCCAGCGCGAAUACCGAAGAGGCUUGUCCUUCAUUGCCAGGUGUGCGGUAGGGUCACUCCCAACCAAUCCACGGCAGCACUUACGGUCUGUACUUUUGGCUUUGCCACGCCUCCAUCGCGUGUCUGGGUC
rfam:Tardiphaga sp. Vaf07 contig_1, whole genome shotgun sequence.